CGUGAGGAACCUGCCUUGAAGAGGGGGACAACAGUUGGAAACGGACUGCUAAUACCGCAUGACGCAUAGAGGUCGCAUGAUCGUUUAUGCCAAAGAUUUAUCGCUUCAAGAUGGCCUCGCGUCUGAUUAGCUAGUUGGUGAGGUAACGGCCCACCAAGGCGACGAUCAGUAGCCGGACUGAGAGGUUGACCGGCCACAUUGGGACUGAGAUACGGCCCAG
rnacentral:rRNA from 1 species